GGGGGACUCGACACCUCUGGGGGGUGGUCCGCGGUGGCUGCGACGGUGGUGGAGGGUCCGGCUUCAUCCUCGGAUGCCUCGUCCAAGAAGCUAAGGUCAAGCUCGAAGAAUUUCACGACCAUCUUCUCCUGGCAGAGCUCGAACCCUUUAUUGAAUGCAGCUUGGCCGAACUCAACCUUCAACUUCUUCAUUUCGGUGGAAGCCUUGAACUCCUCCACCGCUUGACCAGGGUCAGGAUCUGUUCCGCCAUGUUGGCAACCUCGGCCUCCACCCUCCUCACCAUCUCCUCCAAGGCGGCCUUCUGUUCCGCCGAGGUCUGUCUUUCUCUCUCAAGCGCCUCUCGGAGACCGACCGCCUCGAGGGCCAUUUUCUUAAGGAGGGCAGCCUCGGCCUGCUGACCUUCCACCGCCUUGUUUGUCGUCUCGAUGUUGGCGAGGAGUUGGUGCCCGAGCUGCAAGGACGAUCGGAGGGUCAGAAUGGGAGCUGAGAAGUUAAUUAAAUGAAGAAGCGAAAGGAAGAAAGGAAGAUGAAUCUGCUUACCUCGAGGAAGGCCCCCAGUGAGUCCCAGACUCGUUGUGCAGGAUCGACGCGGACGAUCCUCUGGAUGACUUCGGAC
rnacentral:lncRNA from 1 species